GGGUUUUUAGUUAAAUAAAAUAAUAUUAAUCUGUCAGGUUAAAGUUUCAUGGGUUGAAAAAUCUU
rnacentral:tRNA from 1 species